UACGAAGGGGGCUAGCGUUGUUCGGAGUUACUGGGCGUAAAGGGCGCGUAGGCGGCCGGUCAAGUCGGGUGUGAAAGCCUGUGGCUCAACCACAGAAUUGCCUUCGAUACUGUAGAGCUUGAGACCGGAAGAGGUAAGUGGAACUGCGAGUGUAGAGGUGAAAUUCGUAGAUAUUCGCAAGAACACCAGUGGCGAAGGCGGCUUACUGGUCCGGUUCUGACGCUGAGGCGCGAAAGCGUGGGGAGCAAACAGG
rnacentral:rRNA from 1 species